GCCCCUUAUGAUUUGGGCUACACACGUGCUACAAUGGACAAUACAAAGGGCAGCGAAACCGCGAGGUCAAGCAAAUCCCAUAAAGUUGUUCUCAGUUCGGAUUGUAGUCUGCAACUCGACUACAUGAAGCUGGAAUCGCUAGUAAUCGUAGAUCAGCAUGCUACGGUGAAUACGUUCCCGGGUCUUGUACACACCGCCCGUCACACCACGAGAGUUUGUAACACCCGAAGCCGGUGGAGUAACCUUUUAGGAGCUAGCCGUCGAAGGUGGGACAAAUGAUUGGGGUGAAGUCGUAACAAGGUAGCCGUAUCGGAAGGUGCGGCUGGAUCACCUCCUUU
rnacentral:rRNA from 1 species